GGGGACGCGUGGUUUCGACAGAAAAUUUAUGAGGCGGGAUUGCAGGUCGAGGUCCAUAUUACUCGUUAAAAUAUGGAAAAAAUUAACUGACAAUAAACAGUUAGCUUUAGCAGCUUAAUAGCUGCUACAUUGCAUAAUACUUUCCCCGAGAGAAUUAUGUGGUGUCGAAAAUCGGGGUAUAGCUCUGAAAACCGGUGGUUCAGAGGAGAAAUUUAGUCGGAAAGCUUGGAUAAACUCUUUCUGAUUGAAGUCUUCAAGCUUAAUAUCAAUCAGAUAAACCUGUAGAUGUCCUAGUCCGAAUGUUUUUUGGACGGGGAGUUCGACUCUCCCCCGUCUCCACCA
rnacentral:tmRNA from 1 species